AGACCCGAAACCCGGUGAUCUAGCCAUGGGCAGGUUGAAGGUUGGGUAACACUAACUGGAGGACCGAACCGACUAAUGUUGAAAAAUUAGCGGAUGACCUGUGGCUGGGGGUGAAAGGCCAAUCAAACCGGGAGAUAGCUGGUUCUCCCCGAAAGCUAUUUAGGUAGCGCCUCGUGAAUUCAUCUCCGGGGGUAGAGCACUGUUUCGGCUAGGGGGCCAUCCCGGCUUACCAACCCGAUGCAAACUGCGAAUACCGGAGAAUGUUAUCACGGGAGACACACGGCGGGUGCUAACGUCCGUCGUGAAGAGGGAAACAACCCAGACCGCCAGCUAAGGUCCCAAAGUCAUGGUUAAGUGGGAAACGAUGUGGGAAGGCCCAGACAGCCAGGAUGUUGGCUUAGAAGCAGCCAUCAUUUAAAGAAAGCGUAAUAGCUCACUGGUCGAGUCGGCCUGCGCGGAAGAUGUAACGGGGCUAAACCAUGCACCGAAGCUGCGGCAGCGACACUGUGUGUUGUUGGGUAGGGGAGCGUUCUGUAAGCCUGUGAAGGUGUGUCGUGAGGCAUGCUGGAGGUAUCAGAAGUGCGAAUGCUGACAUAAGUAACGAUAAAGCGGGUGAAAAGCCCGCUCGCCGGAAGACCAAGGGUUCCUGUCCAACGUUAAUCGGGGCAGGGUGAGUCGACCCCUAAGGCGAGGCCGAAAGGCGUAGUCGAUGGGAAACGGGUUAAUAUUCCCGUACUUGGUGUUACUGCGAAGGGGGGACGGAGAAGGCUAUGUUGGCCGGGCGACGGUUGUCCCGGUUUAAGCGUGUAGGUGUGUGUUCCAGGUAAAUCCGGUUCACUUUAACACUGAGGCGUGACGACGAGGCACUACGGUGCUGAAGCAACAAAUGCCCUGCUUCCAGGAAAAGCCUCUAAGCAUCAGGUAACAUCAAAUCGUACCCCAAACCGACACAGGUGGUCAGGUAGAGAAUACCAAGGCGCUUGAGAGAACUCGGGUGAAGGAACUAGGCAAAAUGGUGCCGUAACUUCGGGAGAAGGCACGCUGACACGUAGGUGAAGUGAUUUACUCAUGGAGCUGAAGUCAGUCGAAGAUACCAGCUGGCUGCAACUGUUUAUUAAAAACACAGCACUGUGCAAACACGAAAGUGGACGUAUACGGUGUGACGCCUGCCCGGUGCCGGAAGGUUAAUUGAUGGGGUCAGCGCAAGCGAAGCUCCUGAUCGAAGCCCCGGUAAACGGCGGCCGUAACUAUAACGGUCCUAAGGUAGCGAAAUUCCUUGUCGGGUAAGUUCCGACCUGCACGAAUGGCGUAAUGAUGGCCAGGCUGUCUCCACCCGAGACUCAGUGAAAUUGAACUCGCUGUGAAGAUGCAGUGUACCCGCGGCAAGACGGAAAGACCCCGUGAACCUUUACUAUAGCUUGACACUGAACAUUGAGCCUUGAUGUGUAGGAUAGGUGGGAGGCUUUGAAGUGUGGACGCCAGUCUGCAUGGAGCCGACCUUGAAAUACCACCCUUUAAUGUUUGAUGUUCUAACGUGGACCCGUUACCCGGGUUGCGGACAGUGUCUGGUGGGUAGUUUGACUGGGGCGGUCUCCUCCUAAAGAGUAACGGAGGAGCACGAAGGUUGGCUAAUCCUGGUCGGACAUCAGGAGGUUAGUGCAAUGGCAUAAGCCAGCUUGACUGCGAGCGUGACGGCGCGAGCAGGUGCGAAAGCAGGUCAUAGUGAUCCGGUGGUUCUGAAUGGAAGGGCCAUCGCUCAACGGAUAAAAGGUACUCCGGGGAUAACAGGCUGAUAC
rnacentral:rRNA from 1 species